rnacentral:lncRNA from 1 species
UGCUAACCUCAAUGCCCUCACCGGUGCUAGGGUUGCUAUCAUCCUAGAGGCGAGCAAUGGUUUUAUGCUCUUUCAGACAAACCAUCCUACAAUGGAUUUCUUGGGAUGGAUGCUUAAUUGGGUUAUGAUGGUACUAAGUAGACAUUCUUCUAUAGGAAAUGGUGAAUGUGUUUAUGCGCAAUAGGAAUCUUCUUCCAGUGAGCAAGAUGUUGAUGCUUCGGUGCAAUCUGAAGGACUUAGUUAGAAGCUAGUUAGACUUACAUUUUAGUUCUAUAUCGGAAUGAAAGCUAGUUACAUUACCACCUGGAAAAUGUUACCAUUUGGAGAUUUUACUAAGCCCCUUCCAGGCAAUAAUAUACAUGUUCAGUGUUAUAGGUCUUGGAACAUGGAAGUUUUUUUUGUAUGUGCCACUUCAUAUUUUCAUUAUAAUCAAAUAUUUUAUUUUCUUUUUGAGAUGUUAUGUAUCUUAUGGGUGAAGGAAGAGGAAACCUUGAUUUAUAAUACCACCCCUCUUAGCAUAUUAUGAUCCAACCAUUAGUAAUUAACAGAAAAUGGGAGCUAUGCGGAGUAACUAACUAAAAGGUAGCACAAGUUCAGAUUUCCACUCAAGCGACAAGCAUCAAUUGCUUUAAUUGCAUAAGAGUAUGAAAAAUAUGAACAACUCAAUAUGAGAUUCAUUUGAAAUCACGGUAAAUCAAUGUUUUAUUAAUAGAUGCCAAUGAUUUAUUGUCAUUAAAUUAAAACCAUAGUAUACCUGCGAGGACAUGGCGGCCACCUAAUUCUCCAUUUCAGUUCCAGUAGCAAGAAACAACAAAUUUAUGAAAUGAAUCUACUUUUGUUACCUUCGUUAGUUUUUAUCCUUGAAUAAAAAGUGAUUUUUUUUGUAAUGAUAUUGCUCAUCUAAUUAAUAAAUUAGACCCUCGGCAGGUUGCAUUAUGCAAUUGUUCUAAUCUUCUCACCGUUGACAGAGCAUGGUGCCCCAAUGUUUGGUUUUUGUAAUUGAUGACAAUGUCAGGACCGGAUUUUCGGGAUAUUAGUUUCCAGAAAAUGGCCCUUGUGCUCACCAGCCCCAGGAUUACUUUUAGCUGAUGAGGCACCAACUUGAUACAGAAAUUCCAAGCAAAAUACAUAAUAUGUAGUACAAGACCAUUCUGGCCUAUGAGUACAACAAAUGGUUUCCAGUGGUUGAUGGCGGAAGCGGUUUGUGGAUCAUCAGCGUCUAUGGGACUCCAAUUCCCACAUGAACAGCUGCCAGGUUAACUCCUAUCUUCGCGAGGCUGCUAUCACCGUUGCUUAGGUUCCGGGGCUGUCAUCGCAACGCUCCUCUCCAAGCAAGAAAUCUGGCCAAGACAAUAGCCAGGGACAAGCCAGUGAGUACUUUUGAAUGUACUCGCAAACAUUAUGAACACGGGUAUGAUAUAACAACCAAUAAUCAUACUCUAAAAUAUUCUAUGCUCACAACGUCCGUCAUAAAAAUAAUAUCCCUGAUACAUGCAAGCAGGUUAUUUAUGUAAAACAUGAAUAUGCAAUCAGAGAGUAAAAAUAAAAUGCACCGAGCGGGUGUCUGAAGCGACGCCUCGAAAGGAUAAUAAUAUAAGGCAUGCCUCAGUCGGGCGUCUGCGCGACACCACAUACAUGGCUUAUAAAGUAAAUAAAUAAUGAGCAUGCCACAGUCGGGCGUCUGAGAGACACCACAUAAAGGGCUUAUAAGGUAAACAAUAAGAAUGCCACAGUCGGGCGUCUGAGCGACACCACAUAAAGGGCUUAUAAGGUAAACAAUAAGAAUGCCACAGUCAGGCGUCUGAGCGACACCACAUAAAGGGCUUAUAAGGUAAACAAUAAGAAUGCCACAGUCGGGCGUCUGAGCGACACCACAUAAAGGGCUUAUAAGAAAACAAUCACAGUGAAUAUCCAGGAGGUAGAACCGUCCCAGAAUAAUCCCAGUAAUAUGGUGGGUAAGUCCAUAAUAGUAAUAAUCCCAAUCAUCAUAGUCAACACAAGUCACAGGUCAUGAUCCAUGUUCUGGUUUAGCAGUUUCUCCUCCGAAGACCGACACUUGACCAAACCCAGACUGUAGUCCUUAACCAUGGACAUGGCUAUUCGAAUAGAUUUAACCUCUGCAAACGGUGUACUCUUUACCCACGAGUAACGGAUUCCUUUAGUCCAUCGGGACUAAUUCCGUCUACGGCCUUUUAAUAGAAAACACACCUGACUUGCACACACCAGCUUAACUUACCAGUGUCUGGAAUCACCCACGACACCUGUCAAGCAAAAACUCUAAGUGGGGAGGCUACAACCUCGCGUAGCAUGGGAUCAAAUUCAUAUCGCACACUCUAAGUGGUGCCCCCCUCUCGGUCCCAUCCGAAAACACCCAUGCCCCCGGACCAGGUGGCCUGCCUACCAGCUGCAGUCGGUAUCUUCCACCAUGGCCUCUCUGUACGGUGUGUGCUAGAAAGGGGUUGACAGACAACUUACUGUACCGUACCCUACCUGCUGUAGGGACAAGUGGUAGUACGAAACAAGUAUGGGGGUUACUGGAACAAGACUCGAUCUAUGGCCGACUCAGGAAGUUUAAGUAUUCCCAGCAUGAUUAGCUUAAUGAAUAUAUUUCAUCCAACAGACAGGAUCACCACUCAUCAUACCCCAUCAUGCCAUACCGGACACACUCGUCUCGACGAGGAACUAGGGACAAGCUCGGGUCUACCCAAGAUAGAGACUUUCCAGUUUUCCUUCUGGUAGGCGCGAAGGGCAUACGAGGAUGAUCACUAUCACAAGCAUGUCCAUUUCCAACAGCAAGGAAAUCCCCAAUAUGCAUUCAUGCAAAUGAUCGCGUCACCACAUAAAAUAACGAGUUCUCCGUAUUAAGGUGGUGUUAUAAUCAUGUCAACUAACACACAAAAAUAUUAUGCCAGGGUUCAGAAUGCUUGCCUUCAAGGGUAUGCAAGUGGGGUGUGCCUUUUGAAAGUUGACUUCUUCUCCAAAAACCUAUUUUUGAAAAUAUUCAAAUUAACACAUACUUUAAAAACUGUACAAAAACGUUGCUUGGAAAAUUUUCAAAUAAAUAUGAAAAUAAACUAGACAAUAUUUGGGAAACAACAGAAAAAGAAUCAAGUCAUUUGGAUUUAUAUCUAAAAAGUUAUAGCCUAUCAAAGUUUAGUCAACUUUCUGUUUUUAAAAUAAAUCUGAAAAAAAGAAAAACGUUUCGAAAAGGGUACACGUCGAAGACGUACUUUGGGAAUAUGCCUCCACUUAAAACACGUGGUGGCGGGGUUGGGUCACUGACAGUGGGUCCAGCGGCCCCACUGGUCAGGUUUGACUAGUCCCCCGCCUUCUUCCUCCUCUGUCCGAGCCGAGGCGGGGGCUCCGGCGAUCGACGCUGGCGAACGGCAGCUCCUCGCGGGGCUCUGAGGGCGAGGAUGGAUCCGCCACUCCCAGGUGGUCCUCCCGGUGGUUGAGAGGGUGGCGGGGACGAAGGGAGUCGCCGGCGGUGAGCCUUGCGGUGGACGGCAGCUUCGGGAGGUUUGGGGGUUUGGGUUAUGGUGCUUCCCGAUCGACGCUGAGAGGGUGGGUGGCUCCGCACGGUUGGGGGGAGAAGGAUGGAAGCACGGGAGGGGUUUGGGGGCCUCGGUCUUGACCGGAUUUCACCGGAGUGUGGCGGCGGCCGAACCUGUCGGGGACGAGGAAGAUGGCCGUCAUUCGCCGAUUGCUGGCUACGGGGGGGCUCUAGGGGGGGUGGCUCGAGGCUGCCUGAGUGCUGGGACGAGCUCGGGGUCCCCUUUUAUAGUGCAACGAGGUCGGUUCCGCGGCGGCAGUGGAUAGGGACGCCGGCGAACCGCUUUUCUGUAGCUAGGGGUGAGGUGGAGAUGCUUGGAGCUGGUCGGCGCACUCCGACGAACUCCACACUGCUCAAGAGGCGAGCUGGCUCUCGUGUGUGGCUCGGGCGGCGCCGUCCAGGGCAGAGGUUGUCGGGGCGGCGGUGGCGACAUGCAGUGGUGAUGCUGUGGUGCGCCAGGAGGGGGGGCCAGGGUGGCUCUACAGCGAGGGAGGGGUCGGGACGCUGGCUGCGAGUGGAAGGGGCCAGAACGGGAGCGGGGGAGGCGGCAGCGGGAGGUGGCGGCUUGGGCGCACACACGUGCAAAACGCGCGCUCUGGGCGCGCCCAGAGCACGCACGUGACGUGCUCGACAAAAUGACAGGGUGACCUAGAGUGCUUGAGCGAGGCUGGCAAAUAACCGGACUAGGUUAGAGUCUGCAAGAAAGUUAGUGGACAAACUGGUUUGUCCAGAGGUGCAAGGUCACAGUGCAAAGGCAAAAAUCAUGUCAAAACUGCCCAUGCACUUAAGGUAUUUGACAAAAUGCCAAUGGCAUCUAGGCAACUCUUGGGGUGGCCAAAUAUUCCAGAUCAAAGUCUAUUUAGAUGUAGGAGAGGAUGGCAAGUUUAGUUGGCCAAAUGUAGAAACUUGUUAGUGUAAGUUUUGCAAAACUCCAGUUCUGGACAGAAGGAAAAGGGUAUAAUAUCAUGUACCAAAAAUGCUCCAAUGAGUCCAACCUCCUGGACUUAAGGGUUUGCUAGGGUGGUCUACAAUCAGGAGAAAGAAUCAAGGGAAAAAGAGCAAGCAAAAACAUGGUUGCAAUACAAAUCACCAAGUUGAACCAGAAUGCAAAUGAGGAUGAUUCACUCAAUUUUUUCAAAGAGCAUCAAUGGGUUCUUGCAUAAAGAUGAAUAAUAUACUCCUAUUAACACCCCAUAAUUUUCGUGGAAGUUUUAAAGAAAUAUUUAAUUAGGUUGUAAUGCAAAAUUGCCCAAUGGACCAGAUUUGAAAAUUUGAUGUAGAGCUCAAAAUAUCGAAAAAAUGAUAUAUAAUUUUGCAUAAAAGUGAUUUAAAAACAUCACAUGACAUCCCCAAAUUUUGGUGGGAUUUUUAAAUGAAUUUAUAAAAGGGUUGCAGUUCAAAUGGGACCCUAAAAUUUAUGAAAAACCCUUUUGGAGGAAUAAAGCUCAGGAAAAAUAAUUAUAUAAAUAAUCCUACUGAUAAAAGAAUUGUUUUAUUUGAGAGGGUAACUAAGUCCAAUAAUGUUUGAAACUUUUUCACUUGGGGUAAAAACCUCAUAAAAAUAAAGAAAAGAAUGGUUCUGAAAUCAACAGGAAAUCUAGAAAAUAAAAGUUUAAGUUUCCUGGCAAAAUUUUAAUAAAUAAAACAUGGUUAAAUUUUUGGGGUGUCACAACACUACCCCCCUUAAGAAAAAUCUCGUCCUCGAGAUUUGUUAAGAGUUGUUUUCGAAAAUAUCAUUCCUGUUAGUUGAAACCAAAAGGUUUACUCAUAGUACAAACCUUGUGUCGUCAAGGUUGGUUUUUGGCAGCUACGUCCGAGGUUAAAAAUGCAAUCUCACAUCGACAUACUCAUGCAUGGCUACUAUUUAAAAUAGGGCGCACAAGCAACAGUAUUUAAUUACGGCGAUACAGGGUCACACAGUUACAAGGCGAGGACAUGCUAAGACUUGGUACUACUCGAGCGACUCUAGUCUACCUCGUUAAUAUCUAAGCGGGCGUGCCUUGCGGACGUCGAGGCUUCACCACGGUUUUCACCGUCGGGAUUAGCUGGAGGGGGUUGAGGGGCUACAGGGUCGGGGUAGCGAUGAUGACCAUUCCGGGGAUUGUUGGCCACAAUCCCGUUGGAAUGUGUUCCCAAAAGGCGACGAAGCACUUCUGGGGCCAUCAAGGUAUUAUGGUCGAUGGCUGGGGCAGACCUCAAGGACUCGAUCGGUUGUCCGAACAGCACGACUGGGCUAUCGGUGCCGGACUCCUCUUCUCCUCUUGCUGGGGCUCGGCGGGUCAGUUCUCCACGAGCUGCGAUCAGAUCAAGGGUGAUUUGAUCGAACAGUCCCUCUAGUACACAUAGCCUACCAGAUGCAAUAAUGCAGGAUCCAUCUCGUGGUCUCUGUUGGCAACUUGGGGUGGUCUACCAUAUCCGACACGGCUGGGGUAGUAGUAGAACGAGCGGCAGUUGACUCUGGGCGACAAGUGCCGGAGUUGAACUAUAGCCUCUCGAGCAGCUAGUUGGAUGGCUUGUGGCUCAAAGGAAGUUGUCCUUCCGGUGAACCUGUAGGGGCGUUCUGGCGAUAGACCCCUACCGUAGACGUGCAUAGUGGCCCAGAAUUGACGGCUCUCACCGCUCAUGGGUCCUUGGUACACAACAUAUUCUGGGGGCUCUUCUAACGCGAAGGCACGGCGGGUGAGGUUUGCUAGCACGGUCACAAAACCUCCAAGGUUGGUUGCCGUGGUCUCAUUGUGAACAAUGGGUCCUGGCAUUUUAGCUUGGUUUGGGCAGAGGUUGUGCUGUGCUAGGUUGGGGCUAGCGUGCCCUUUUUAUAAAAAAAAGAACGGAGUCUUCCUUCGCACGCUUGCGAAUGAGAUAAUUUUGGUGUCGGUCACUGGCGCGUGAUCGACAGGCUAGGCUGAUAGGUUGGGCACCGACUGCCAAAAAGGUGUCGAUCACUGUGUGGCUAUCUUACACGAGAAGCUUGGCCGGAGUUAGGUUAAGGCCUGGUGGGUUGGUUUACCUAGGUUUUUUUUUACCUGUCUAAGAUAGGAUUAGCCAAUGGUCAGCCUGGCUCUGAUACCAAGUUUGUCAGGACCGGAUUUUCGGGAUAUUAGUUUCCAGAAAAUGGCCCUUGUGCUCACCAGCCCCAGGAUUACUGUUAGCUGAUGAGGCAACAACUUGAUAUAGAAAUUCCAAGCAAAAUACAUAAUAUGUAGUACAAGACCUUUCUGGCCUAUGAGUACAACAAAUGGUUUCUAGUGGUUGAUGGCGGAAGCGGUUUGUGGAUCAUCAGCGUCUAUGGGACUCCAAUUCCCACAGGAAUAGCUGACCUGGUUAACUCCUAUCUUCGUGAGGCUGCUAUCACCGUUGCUUAGGUUCCGGGGCUGUCAUCGCAACGCUCCUCUCCAAGCAAGAAAUCUGGCCAAGACAAUAGCCAGGGACAAGCCAGUGAGUACUUUUGAAUGUACUCGCAAACAUUAUGAACAUGGGUAUGAUAUAACAACCAAUAAUCAUACUCUAAAAUAUUCUAUGCUCACAACGUCCGUCAUAAAAAUAAUAUCCAUGAUACAUGCAAGCAGGUUAUUUACGUAAAACAUGAAUAUGCAAUCAGAGAGUAAAAAUAAAAUGCACCGAGCGGGUGUCUGAAGCGACGCCUUGAAAGUAUAAUAAUAUAAGGCAUGCCUCAGUCGGGCGUCUGCGCGACACCACAUACAUGGCUUAUAAAGUAAAUAAAUAAUGAGCAUGCCACAGUCGGGCGUCUGAGCGACACCACAUAAAGGGCUUAUAAGGUAAACAGUAAGAAUGCCACAGUCGGGCGUCUGAGCGACACCACAUAAAGGGCUUAUAAGGUAAACAAUAAGAAUGCCACAGUCGGGCGUCUGAGCGACACCACAUAAAGGGCUUAUAAGGUAAACAAUAAGAAUGCCACAGUCGGGCGUCUGAGCGACACCACAUAAAGGGCUUAUAAGAAAACAAUCACAGUGAAUAUCCAGGAGGUAGAACCAUCCCAGGGAUACUCAAUAAUCCCAGUAAUAUGGUGGGUUAGUCCAUAAUAAUAAUAAUCACAAUCAUCAUAAUCAACACAAGUCACAGGUCAUGAUCCAUGUUCUGGUUUAGCAGUUUCUCCUCCGAAGACCGACACUAAGACCGACACUUGACCCAACCCAUACUGUAGUCCUUAACCAUGGACACGGCUAUUCGAAUAGAUUUAACCUCUGCAGAGGGUGUACUCUUUACCCACGAGUAACGGAUUCCUUAAGUCCAUCGGGACUAAUUUCGUCUACGGUCUUUUAAUUGAAAACACACCUGACUUGCACGCAACAGCUUAACUUACCGGUGUCUGGAAUCACCCACGAAACCUGUCAAGCAAAAACUCUAAAUGUGGAGGCUACAACCUCACAUAGCAUGGGAUCAAAUUUAUAUCACGCGCUCUAAGGGGUGCCCCCCCCUCUCGGUCCCAGCCGGAAACACCCAUGCCCCCGGACCAGGUGGCCUGCCUACCGGCUACACUCGGUAUCUUCGACCAUGGCCUCUCUGUACGGUGUGUGCUAGAAAGGGGUUGACAACUUACUAAACCAUACCCUACCUACUGUAGGGACAAGUGGUAGUACGAAACAAGUAUGGGGGUUACUGGAACAAGACUCGAUCUAUGGCCGACUCAGGAGGUUUAAGUAUUCCCUGCAUGAUUAGCUUAACGAAUAUAUUUCAUCCAACAGACAGGAUCACCACUCAUCAUACCCCAUCAUGCCGUACCGGACACACUCGUCUCGAAGAGGAACUACGGACAAGCUCGGGUCUACCCAAGACAGAGACUUUCCCGUUUUCCUUUCGGUAGGCGCGAAGGGCAUACGAGGAUGAUCACUAUCACAAGCAUGUCCAUUUCCAACAGCAAGGAAAUCCCCAAUAUGCAUUCAUGCAAAUGAUCGCGUCACCACAUAAAAUAAUGAGUUCUCCGUAUUAAGGUGGUGUUAUAAUCAUGUCAACCAACACACAAAAAUAUUAUGCCAGGGUUCAGAAUGCUUACCUUCAAGGGUAUGCAAGUGGGGUGUGCCUUUUGAAAGUUGACUUCUUCUUCCAAAACCUAUUUUCGAAAAUAUUCAAAUUAGCACAUACUUUAAAAACAGUACAAAAAAGUUGCUUGGAAAAUUUUCAAAUAAAUAUGAAAAUAAACUAGACAAUAUUUGGGAAACAACAGAAAAAGAAUCAAGUCAUUUGGAUUUAUAUCUAAAAAGUUAUAGCCUGUCAAACUUUAGUCAACUUUCUGUUUUUAAAAUAAAACUGAAAAAAAAAGAAAAACGUUUCGAAAAGGGUACACAUCGAAGUCGUACUUUGGGAAUACGCCUCCACUUAAAACACGUGGUGGCGGGGCUGGGUCACUGACACUGGGUCCAGCGGCCCCACUGGUCAGGUUUGACUAGUCCCCCGCCUUCUCCCUCCUCUCUCCGAGCCGAGGCGGGGGCUCCGACGAUCGACGCCGGCGAACGGCGGCUCCUCGCGGGGCUCUGAGGGCGGGGAUGGAUCCGCCACUCCCGGGCGGUCCUCCCGGUGGUCGAGAGGGUGGCGGGAAUGAAGGGAGUCGCCGGCGGCGAGCCUUGCGGCGGACGGCAGCUUCGGGAGGUUUGGGGGUUUGGGUUAUGGUGCUUCCCGAUUGACGCUGAGAGGGUGGGUGGCUCUGCACGGUUGGGGGGAGAAGGAUGGAAGCACGGGAGGGGUUUGGGGGCCUCGGUCUUGGCCGGAUUUCACCGGAGUGUGGCGGCGGCCGAACCUGUCAGGGAUGAGGAAGAUGGCCGUCAUUCGCCGAUUGCUGGCUACGGGAGGGCUCUAGGGGGGUGGCUCGAGGCUGCCUGAGUGCUGGGACGAGCUCGGGGUCCCCUUUUAUAGUGCAACGAGGUUGGUUCCGCGGCGGCAGUGGAUCGGGACACCGGCGAACCGCCGUUCUGUAGCUAGGGGCGACGUGGAGGUGGUUGGAGCUGGUCGGCGCACUCCGACGAACUCCACACUGCUCAAGGGGCGAGCUGGCGCGCGUGUGUGGCUCGGGCGGCGCUAUCCAGGGCAUAGGUUGUCGGGGCGGCGGUGGCGGCCUGCGGUGGUGAUGUUGUGGUGCGCCAGGAGGGGGGGCCAGGGUGGCUCUGCGGCGAGGGAGGGGUCGGGACGCUGGCUGCGAGUGGAAGGGGCCAGAACGGGUGCGGGGGAGGCGGCAGCGGGACGCGGCGGCUCGGGCGCACGCACGUGCAAAACGCGCGCUCUGGCCGCGCCCAGAGCACGCACGCGACGUGCUCGACAAAAUGCCAGGGUGACCUAGAGUGCUUGAGCGAGGCUGGCAAAUAACCGGACUAGGUUAGAGUCUGCAAGAAAGUUAGUGGACAAACUGGUUUGUCCAGAGGUGCAAGGUCACAGUGCAAAGGCAAAAAUCAUGUCAAAACUGCCCAUGCACUUAAGGUGUUUGACAAAAUGCCAAUGGCAUCUAGGCAACUCUUGGGUGGCCAAAUAUUCCAGAUCAAAGUCUCUUUAGAUGUAGGAGAGGAUGGCAAGGUUAGUUGGCCAAAUCUAGAAACUUGUUAGUGUAAGUUUUGCAAAAGUCUAGUUCUGGACAGAAGGAAAAGGGUAUAAUAUCAUGUACCAAAAAUGCUCCAAUGAGUCCAACCUCCUGGACUUAAGGGUUUGGUAGGGUGGUCUAGAAUUAGGAGAAAGAAUCAAGGGAAAAAGAGCAAGCAAAAAUAUGGUUGCAAUACAAAUCACCAAGUUGAACCAGAAUGCAAAUGAGGAUGAUUCACUCAAUUUUCUCAAAGAGCAUCAAUGGGUUUUUGCAUAAAGAUGAAUAAUAUACUCCUAUUAACACCCCAUAAUUUUGGUGGAAGUUUUAAAGAAAUAUUUAAUUAGGUUGUAGUGCAAAAUUACCCACUGGACCAGAUUUGAAAAUUUGAUGUAGACCUCAAAAUAUCCAAAGAAUGAAAUAUAUUUUUGCAUAAAAGUGAUUUAAAAACAUCACAUGACAUCCCCAAAUUUUGGUGGGAUUUUUAAAUGAAUUUAUAAAAGGGUUGCAGUUCAAAUGGGACCCUAAAAUUUAUGAAAAACCCUUUUGGAGGAAUAAAGCUCAGGAAAAAUAAUUAUAUAAAUAAUCCUACUGAUAAAAGAAUUGUUUUAUUUGAGAGGGUAACUAAGUCUAAUAAUGUUUGAAACUUUUUCACUUGGGGUAAAAACCUCAUAAAAAUAAAGAAAAGAAUGGUUCUGAAAUCAACAGGAAAUCUAGAAAAUAAAAGUUUAAGUUUCCUGGCAAAAUUUUAAUAAAUAAAACAUGGUUAAAUUUUUGGGGUGUCACAACACUACCCCCCUUAAGAAAAAUCUCGUCCUCGAGAUUUGUUAAGAGUUGUUUUCGAAAAUAUCAUUCCUGUUAGUUGAAACCAAAAGGUUUACUCAUAGUACAAACCUUGUGUCGUCAAGGUUGGUUUUUGGCAGCUACGUCCGAGGUUAAAAAUGCAAUCGCACAUCGACAUACUCAUGCAUGGCUACUAUUUAAAAUAGGGCGCACAAGCAACAGUAUUUAAUUACGGCGAUACAGGGUCACACAGUUACAAGGCGAGGACAUGCUAAGACUUGGUACUACUCGAGCAACUCUAGUCUACCUCGUUAAUAUCUAAGCGGGCGUGCCUUGCGGACUUCGAGGCUUCGCCACGGUUUUCACCAUCGGGAUUAGCUGGAGGGGGUUGAGGGGCUGCAGGGUCGGGGUAGCGAUGAUGACCAUUCCGGGGAUUGUUGGCCACAAUCCCGUUGGAAUGUGUUCCCAAAAGGCGACGAAGCACUUCUGGGGCCAUCGAGGUAUUAUGGUCGAUGGCUGGGGCAGACCUCAAGGACUCGAUCGGUUGUCCGAACAGCACGACUGGGCUGUCGGUGUCGGGCUCCUCUUCUCCUCUUGCUGGGGCUCGGCGGGUCAGUUCUCCACGAGCUGCGAUCAGAUCAGGGGUGAUUUGAUCGAACAAUCCCUCUAGUACACAUAGCGUACCAGAUGCAAUAAUGCAGGAUCCGUCUCGUGGUCUCCGUUGGCAACUUGGGGUGGUCUACCAUAUCCGUCACGGCUGGGGUAGUAGUAGAACGAGCGGUAGUUGACUCUGGGCGACAAGUGUCGGAGUUGAACUAUAGCCUCUCGAGCAGCUAGUUGGAUGGCUUGUGGCUCAAAGGAAGUUGUCCUUCCGGUGAACCUGUAGGGGCGUUCUGGCGAUAGACCCCUACCGUAGACGUGCACAGUGGCCCAGAAUUGACGGCUCUCACAGCUCAUGGGUCCUUGGUACACAACAUAUUCUGGGGGCUCUUCUAUCGCGAAGGCACGGCGGGUGAGGUUUGCUAGCACGGUCACAAAACCUCCAAGGUUGGUUGCCGUGGUCUCAUUGUGAACAAUGGGUCCUGGCAUUUUAGCUUGGUUUGGGCAGAGGUUGUGCUGUGCUGGGUUUGGGCUAGCAUGCCCUUUAUUAAAAAAAAGGACGGAGUCUUCCUUCGCACGCUUGCGAAUGACAUAAUUUUGGUGUCGGUCACUGGCGCGUGAUCGACAGGCUAGGCUGAUAGGUUGGGCACUGACUGCCAAAAAGGUGACGGUCACUGUGUGGCUAUCUUACACGAGAAACUUGGCCGGGGUUAGGUUAAGGCCUGGUGGGUUGGUUUACCUAGGUUUUUUUUGACCUGUCUAAGAUAGGAUUAGCCAAUGGCCAGCCUGGCUCUGAUACCAAGUUUGUAAGGACCGGAUUUUUGGGAUAUUAGUUUCCAGAAAAUGGCCCUUAUGCUCACCAGCCCCAGGAUUACUGUUAGCUGAUGAGGCAACUACUUGAUACAGAAAUUCCAAGCAAAAUACAUAAUAAGUAGUACAAGACCAUUCUGGCCUAUGAGUACAACAAAUGGUUUCUAGUGGUUGACGGCGGAAGCGGUUUGUGGAUCAUCAGUGUCUAUGGGACUCCAAUUCCCACAGGAACAGCAGACCAGGUUAACUUAUCUUCGUGAGGCUGCUAUCACCGUUGCUUAGGUUCCCGGGCUGUCAUCACAACGCUCCUCUCCAAGCAAGAAAUCUGGCCAAGACAAUAGCCAGGGACAAGCCAGUGAGUACUUUUGAAUGUACUCGCAAACAUUAUGAACACGGGUAUGAUAUAACAACCAAUAAUCAUACUCUAAAAUAUUCUAUGCUCACAACGUCCGUCAUAAAAAUAAUAUCCCUGAUACAUGCAAGUAGGUUAUUUAUGUAAAACAUGAAUAUGCAAUCAGAGAGUAAAAAUAAAAUGCACCGAGCGGGUGUCUGAAGCGACGCCUCGAAAGGAUAAUAAUAUAAGGCAUGCCUCAGUCGGGCGUCUGCGCGACACCACAUACAGGGCUUAUGAAGUAAAUAAAUAAUGAGCAUGCCACAGUCGGGCGUCUGAGCGACACCACAUAAAGGGCUUAUAAGGUAAACAAUAAGAAUGCCACAGUCGGGCGUCUGAGCGACACCACAUAAAGGGCUUAUAAGGUAAACAAUAAGAAUGCCACAGUCGGGCGUUUGAGCGACACCACAUAAAGGGCUUAUAAGAAAACAAUCACAGUGAAUAUCCAAGAGGUAGACCCGUCCUAGGGAUACUCAAUAAUCCCAGUAAUAUGGUGGGUUAGUCCAUAAUAAUAAUAAUCACAAUCAUCAUAAUCAACACAAGUCACAGGUCAUGAUCCAUGUUCUGGUUUAGCAGUUUCUCCUCCGAAGACCGACACUAAGACCGACACUUGACCCAACCCAUACUGUAGUCCUUAACCAUGGACAUGGCUAUUCGAAUAGAUUUAACCUCUGCAGAGGGUGUACUCUUUACCCACGAGUAACGGAUUCCUUUAGUCCAUCGGGACUAAUACCGUCUACGGUCUUUUAAUUGAAAACACACCUGACUUGCACACACCAGCUUAACUUACCGUUGUCUCGAAUCACCCACGACAUCUGUCAAGCAAAAACUCUAAGUGUGGAGGCUACAACCUCGCAUAGCAUGGGAUCAAAUUUAUAUCGCGCGCUCUAAGGGGUGCCCCCCUCUCGGUCCCAACCGGAAACACCCAUGCCGCCGGACCAAGUGGCCUGCCUACCGGCUGUAGUCGGUAUCUUCCACCAUGGCCUCUCUGUACGGUGUGUGCUAGAAAGGGGUUGACAACUUACUGAACCGUACCCUACCUGCUGUAGGGACAAGUGGUAGUAUGAAACAAGUAUGGGGGUUACUGGAACAAGACUCGAUCUAUGGCCGACUCAGGAGGUUUAAGUAUUCCCUGCAUGAUUAGCUUAACGAAUAUAUUUCAUCCAACAGACAGGAUCACCACUCAUCAUACCCCAUCAUGCCAUACCGGACACACUCGUAUCGACGAGGAACUAGGGAUAAGCUCGGGUCUACCCAAGACAGAGACUUUCCCGUUUUCCUUCCGGUAGGCGCGAAUGGCAUACGAGGAUGAUCACUAUCACAAGCAUGUCCAUUUCCAACAGCAAGGAAAUCCCCAAUAUACAUUCAUGCAAAUGAUCGCGUCACCACAUAAAAUAACGAGUUCUCCGUAUUAAGGUGGUGUUAUAAUCAUGUCAACCAACACACAAAAAUAUUAUGCCGGGGUUCAGAAUGCUUACCUUCAAGGGUAUGCAAGUGGGGUGUGCCUUUUGAAAGUUGACUUCUUCUUCAAAUACCUAUUUUCAAAAAUAUUCAAAUUAACACAUACUUUAAAAACAGUACAAAAAAGUUACUUGGAAAAUUUUCAAAUAAAUAUGAAAAUAAACUAGACAAUAUUUGGGAAACAGCAUAAAAAGAAUCAAGUUAUUUGGAUUUAUAUCUAAAAAUUAUAGCCUGUCAAAGUUUAGUCAACUUUCUUUUUUUAAAAUAAAACUGAAAAAAAAGAAAAACGUUUCGAAAAGGGUACACGUCGAAGACGUACUUUGGGAAUACGCCUCCACUUAAAACACGUGGUGGUGGAGCUGGGUCACUGACACUGGGUCCAGCGGCCCCACUAGUCAGGUUUGACUAGUCCCCCGCCUUCUUCCUCCUCUGUCCGAGCCGAGGCGGGGGCUCCGGCUAUCGACGCCGGCGAACGGCGGCUCCUCGCGGGGCUCUAAGGGCGGGGAUGGAUCCGCCACUCCCGUGCGGUCCUCCCGGUGGUCGAGAGGGUGGCGGGGACGAAGGGAGUCGCCGGCGGCGAGCCUUGCGGCGGACGGCAGCUUCGGGAGGUUUGGGGGUUUGGGUUAUGGUGCUUCUCGAUCGACGCUGAGAGGGUGGGUGGCUCUGCACGGUUGGGGGGAGAAGGAUGGAAGCACAGGAGGGGUUUGGGGGCCUCGGUCUUGGCCGAAUUUCACCGGAGUGUGGCGGCGGCCGAACCUGUCGGGGACGAGGAAGAUGGCCGUCAUUCUCCGAUUGCUGGCUACGGGGGGGGGGCUCUAGGGGGGUGGCUCGAGGCUGCCUGAGUGCUGGGACGAGCUCGGGGUCCCCUUUUAUAGUGCAACGAGGUCGGUUCCGCGGCGGCAGUGGAUAGGGACGCAGCGAACCGCCAUUCUGUAGCUAGGGGCGACGUGGAGGUGGUUGGAGCUGGUCGGCGCACUCCGAUGAACUCCACACUGCUCAAGGGGCAAGCUGGCGCGCGUGUGUGGCUCGGGCGCCGCCGUCCAGGGCAGAGGUUGUCGGGGCGGCGCUGGCGGCAUGCGGUUGUGAUGCUGUGGUGCGCCAGGAGGGGGGCAGGGUGGCGCUGCGGCGAGGGAGGCGGGACGCUGGCUGCGAGUGGAAGGGGCCAGAACGGGUGCGGGGGAGGCGGCAGCGGGACGCGGUGGCUCGGGCGCAUGCACGUGCAAAACGCGCGCUCUAGCCGCGCCCAGAGCACGCACGCGACAUGCUCAACAAAAUGCCAGGGUGACCUAGAGUGCUUGAGCGAGGCUGGCAAAUAACCGGACUAGGUUAGAGUCUGCAAGAAAGUUAGUGGACAAACUGGUUUGUCCAGAGGUGCAAGGUCACAGUGCAAAGGCAAAAAUCAUGUCAAAACUGCCCAUGCACUCAAGGUGUUUGACAAAAUGCCAAUGGCAUCUAGGCAACUCUUGGGGUGGCCAAAUAUUCCAGAUCAAAGUCUAUUUAGAUGUAGGAGAGGAUGGCAAGGUUAGUUGGCCAAAUCUAGAACCUUGUUAGUGUAAGUUUUGCAAAACUCCAGUUCUGGACAGAAGGAAAAGGGUAUAAUAUCAUGUACCAAAAAUGCUCCAAUGAGUCCAACCUCCUGGACUUAAGGGUUUGGUAGGGUGGUCUAGAAUCAGGAGAAAGAAUCAAGGGAAAAAGAGCAAGCAAAAAUAUGGUUUCAAUAAAAAUCACCAAGUUGAACCAGAAUGCAAAUGAGGAUGAUUCACUCAAUUUUUUCAAAGAGCAUCAAUGGGUUUUUGCAUAAAGAUGAAUAAUAUACUCCUAUUAACACCCCAUAAUUUUGGUGGAAGUUUUAAAGAAAUAUUUAAUUAGGUUGUAGUGCAAAAUUGCCCACUUGACCAGAUUUGAAAAUUUGAUGUAGAGCUCAAAAUAUCCAAAGAAUGAUAUAUAUUUUUGCAUAAAAGUGAUUUAAAAACAUCACAUGACAUCCCCAAAUUUUGGUGGGAUUUUUAAAUGAAUUUAUAAAAGGGUUGCAGUUCAAAUGGAACCCUAAAACUUAUGAAAACCCCUUUUAGAGGAAUAAAGCUCAGGAAAAAUAAUUAUAUAAAUAAUCCUACUGAUAAAAGAAUUGUUUUAUUUGAGAGGGUAAAUAAGUCCAAUAAUGUUUGAAUUUUUUUCACUUGGGGUAAAAACCUCAUAAAAAUAAAGAAAAGAAUGGUUCUGAAAUCAAUAGGAAAUCCUGAAAAUAAAAGUUUAAGUUUCCUGGCAAAAUUUUAAUAAAUAAAACAUGGUUAAAUUUUUGGGGUGUCACAACACUACCCCCCUUAAGAAAAAUCUCGUCCUCAAGAUUUGUUAAGAGUUGUUUUCGAAAAUAUCAUUCCUGUUAGUUGAAACCAAAAGGUUUACUCAUAGUACAAACCUUGUGUCGUCAAGGUUGGUUUUUGGCAGCUACGUCCGUGGUUAAAAAUGCAAUCGCACAUCGACAUACUCAUGCAUGGCUACUAUUUAAAAUAGGGCGCACAAGCAACAGUAUUUAAUUACGGCGAUACAGGUUCACACAGUUACAAGGCGAGGACAUGCUAAGACUUGGUACUACUCGAGCAACUCUAGUCUACCUCGUUAAUAUCUAAGCGGGCGUGCCUUGCGGACUUCGAGGCUUCGCCACGGUUUUCACCAUCGGGAUUAGCUGGAGGGGGUUGAGGGGCUGCAGGGUCGGGGUAGCGAUGAUGACCAUUCCGGGGAUUGUUGGCCACAAUCCCGUUGGAAUGUGUUCCCAAAAGGCGACGAAGCACUUCUGGGGCCAUCGAGGUAUUAUGGUCGAUGGCUGGGGCAGACCUCAAGGACUCGAUCGGUUGUCCGAACAGCACGACUGGGCUGUCGGUGCCGGGCUCCUCUUUUCCUCUUGCUGGGGCUCGGCGGGUCAGUUCUCCACGAGCUGCGAUCAGAUCAAGGGUGAUUUGAUCGAACAGUCCCUCUAAUACACAUACCGUACCAGAUGCAAUAAUGCAGGAUCCAUCUCGUGGUCUCCGUUGGCAACUUGGGGUGGUCUACCAUAUCCGUCACGGCUGGGGUAGUAGUAGAACGAGCGGCAAUUGACUCUGGGCGACAAGUGCCGGAGUUGAACUAUAGCCUCUCGAGCAGCUAGUUGGAUGGCUUGUGGCUCAAAGGAAGUUGUCCUUCCGGUGAACCUGUAGGGGCAUUCUGGUGAUAGACCCCUACCGUAGACGUGCACAGUGGCCCAGAAUUGAUGGCUCUCACCGCUCAUGGGUCCUUGGUACACAACAUAUUCUGGGGGCUCUUCUAACGCGAAGGCACGGCGGGUGAGGUUUGCUAGCACGGUCACAAAACCUCCAAGGUUGGUUGCCGUGGUCUCAUUGUGAACAAUUGGUCCUGGCAUUUUAGCUUGGUUUGGGCAGAGGUUGUGAUGUGCUGGGUUGGGGCUAGCGUGCCCUUUUUAUAAAAAAAAGGACGGAGUCUUCCUUCGCACGCUUGCGAAUGAGAUAAUUUUGGUGUCGGUCACUGGCGCGUGAUCGACAGGCUAGGCUGAUAGGUUGGGCACCGACUGCCAAAAAGGUGUUGGUCACUGUGUGGCUAUCUUACACGAGAAGCUUGGCCGGGGUUAGGUUAAGGCCUGGUGGGUUGGUUUACCUAGGUUUUUUUUUGACCUGUCUAAGAUAGGAUUAGCCAAUGGUCAGUCUGGCUUUGAUACCAAGUUUGUCAGGACCGGAUUUUCGGGAUAUUAGUUUCCAGAAAAUUGCCCUUGUGCUCACCAGCCCCAGGAUUACUGUUAGCUGAUGAGGCAACAACUUGAUACAGAAAUUCCAAGCAAAAUACACAAUAUGUAGUACAAGACCUUUCUGGCCUAUGAGUACAACAAAUGGUUUCUAGUGGUUGAUGGCGGAAGCGGUUUGUGGAUCAUCAGCGCCUAUGGGACUCCAAUUCCCACAGGAACAGCUGACCUGAUUAACUCCUAUCUUCGUGAGGCUGCUAUCACCGUUGCUUAGGUUCCGGGGCUGUCAUCGCAACGCUCCUCACCAAGCAAGAAAUCUGGCCAAGACAAUAGCCAGGGACAAGCCAGUGAGUACUUUUGAAUGUACUCGCAAACAUUAUGAACACGGGUAUGAUAUAACAACCAGUAAUCAUACUCUAAAAUAUUCUAUGCUCACAACGUCCGUCAUAAAAAUAAUAUCCCUGAUACAUGCAAGCAGGUUAUUUAUGUAAAACAUGAAUAUUCAAUCAGAGAGUAAAAAUAAAAUGCACCGAGCGGGUGUCUGAAGCGACGCCUCGAAAGGAUAAUAAUAUAGGGCAUGCCUCAGCCGGGCGUCUGCGCGACACCACAUACAUGGCUUAUAAAGUAAAUAAAUAAUGAGCAUGCCACAGUCGGGCGUCUGAGCGACACCACAUAAAGGGCUUAUAAGGUAAACAAUAAGAAUGCCACAGUCGGGCGUCUGAGCGACACCACAUAAAGGGCUUAUAAGGUAAACAAUAAGAAUGCCGCAGUCGGGCGUCUGAGCGACACCACAUAAAGGUCUUAUAAGGUAAACAAUAAGAAUGCCACAGUCGGGCGUCUGAGCGACACCACAUAAAGGGCUUAUAAUAAAACAAUCACAGUGAAUAUCCAGGAGGUAGAACCGUCCCAGGGAUACUCAAUAAUCCCAGUAAUAUGGUGGGUUAGUCCAUAAUAAUAAUAAUCACAAUCAUCAUAAUCAACACAAGUCACAGGUCAUGAUCCAUGUUCUGGUUUAGCAGUUUCUCCUCAGAAGACCGACACUUGACCCAACCCAUACUGUAGUCCUUAACCAUGGACACGUCUAUUCGAAUAGAUUUAACCUCUGCAGAGGGUGUACUCUUUACCCACGAGUAACGGAUUCCUUUAGUCCAUCGGGACUAAUUCCGUCUACGGUCUUUUAAUUGAAAACACACCUGACUUGCACACACCAGCUUAACUUACCGGUGUCUGGAAUCACCCACGACACCUGUCAAGCAAAAACUCUAAGUGUGGAGGCUACAACCUCGCAUAGCAUGGGAUCAAAUUUAUAUCGCGCGCUCUAAGGGGUGCCCCCGCCCCCUCUCGGUCCGAACCGGAAACACCCAUGCCCCCGGACCAGGUGGCCUGCCUACCGGCUGCAGUCGGUAUCUUCCACCAUGACCUCUCUGUACAGGGACUUUCCCGUUUUCCUUUCGGUAGGCGCGAAGGGCAUACGAGGAUGAUCACUAUCACAAGCAUGUCCAUUUCCAACAGCAAGGAAAUCCCCAAUAUGCAUUCAUGCAAAUGAUCGCGUCACCACAUAAAAUAACGAGUUCUCCCUAUUAAGGUGGUGUUAUAAUCAUGUCAACCAACACACAAAAAUAUUACGCCAGGGUUCAGAAUGCUUACCUUCAAGGGUAUGCAAGUGGGGUGUACCUUUUGAAAGUUGUCUUCUUCUUCAAAAACCUAUUUUCGAAAAUAUUCAAAUUAACACAUACUUUAAAAACAGUACAAAAAGUUGCUUGGAAAAUUUUCGAAUAAAUAUGAAAAUAAACUAGACAAUAUUUGGGAAACAACAGAAAAAGAAUCAAGUCAUUUGGAUUUAUAUCUAAAAAGUUAUAGCCUGUCAAACUUUAGUCAACUUUUUGUUUUUAAAAUAAAACUGAAAAAAAAUGUUUCGAAAAGGGUACACGUCAAAGUCGUACUUUGGGAAUACGCCUCCACUUAAAACACGUGGUGGCGGGGCUGGGUCACUAACACUAGGUCCAGCGGCCCCACUGGUCAGGUUUGACUAGUCCCCCGCCUUCUUCCUCCUCUGUCCGAGCCGAGGCGGGGGCUCCGGCGAUCGACGCCGGCGAACGACGGCUCCUCGCGGGGCUCUGAGGGCGGGGAUGGAUCCGCCACUCCCGGGCGGUCCUCCCGAUGGUCGAGAGGGUGGCGGGGACGAAGGGAGUCGCCGGCGGCGAGCCUUGCGGCGGACGGCAGCUUCGGGAGGUUUGGGGGUUUGGGUUAUGGUGCUUCCCGAUCGACGCUGAGAGGGUGGGUGGCUCCGCACGGUUGGGGGAGAAGGAUGGAAGCACGGGAGGGGUUUGGGGGCCUCGGUCUUGGCCGGAUUUCACCGGAGUGUGGCGGCGGCCGAACCUGUCGGGGACGAGGAAGAUGGCCGUCAUUCACCGAUUGCUGGCUACGGGAGGGCUCUAGGGGGGUGGCUCGAGGCUGCCUGAGUGCUGGGACGAGCUCGGGGUCCCCUUUUAUAGUGCAACGAGGUUGGUUCCGCGGCGGCAGUGGAUCGGGACACCGGCGAACCGCCGUUCUGUAGCUAGGGGCGACGUGGAGGUGGUUGGAGCUGGUCGGCGCACUCCGACGAACUCCACACUGCUCAAGGGGCGAGCUGGCGCGCGUGUGUGGCUCGGGCGGCGCUAUCCAGGGCAGAGGUUGUCGGGGCGGCGGUGGCGGCCUGCGGUGGUGAUGUUGUGGUGCGCCAGGAGGGGGGGCCAGGGUGGCUCUGCGGCGAGGGAGGGGUCGGGACGCUGGCUGCGAGUGGAAGGGGCCAGAACGGGUGCGGGGGAGGCGGCAGCGGGACGCGGCGGCUCGGGCGCACGCACGUGCAAAACGCGCGCUCUGGCCGCGCCCAGAGCACGCACGCGACGUGCUCGACAAAAUGCCAGGGUGACCUAGAGUGCUUGAGCGAGGCUGGCAAAUAACCGGACUAGGUUAGAGUCUGCAAGAAAGUUAGUGGACAAACUGGUUUGUCCAGAGGUGCAAGGUCACAGUGCAAAGGCAAAAAUCAUGUCAAAACUGCCCAUGCACUCAAGGUGUUUGACAAAAUGCCAAUGGAAUCUAGGCAACUCUUGGGGUGGCCAAAUAUUCCAGAUCAAAGUCUCUUUAGAUGUAGGAGAGGAUGGCAAGGUUAGUUGGCCAAAUCUAGAAACUUGUUAGUGUAAGUUUUGCAAAAGUCUAGUUCUGGACAGAAGGAAAAGGGUAUAAUAUCAUGUACCAAAAAUUCUCCAAUGAGUCCAACCUCCUGGACUUAAGGGUUUGGUAGGGUGGUCUAGAAUCAGGAGAAAGAAUCAAGGGAAAAAGAGCAAGCAAAAAUAUGGUUGCAAUACAAAUCACCAAGUUGAACCAGAAUGCAAAUGAGGAUGAUUCACUCAAUUUUUUCAAAGAGCAUCAAUGGGUUUUUGCAUAAAGAUGAAUAGUAUACUCCUAUUAACACCCCAUAAUUUUGGCGGAAGUUUUAAAGAAAUAUUUAAUUAGGUUGUAGUGCAAAAUUGCCCACUGGACCAGAUUUGAAAUUUUGAUGUAGAGCUCAAAAUAUCCAAAGAAUGAAAUAUAUUUUUGCAUAAAAGUGAUUUAAAAACAUCACAUGACAUCCCCAAAUUUUGGUGGGAUUUUUAAAUGAAUUUAUAAAAGGGUUGCAGUUCAAAUGGGACCCUAAAACUUAUGAAAAAUCCUUUUAGAGGAAUAAAGCUCAGGAAAAAUAAUUAUAUAAAUAAUCCUACUGAUAAAAGAAUUGUUUUAUUUGAGAGGGUAAAUAAGUACAAUAAUGUUUGAAAAGUUUUCACUUGGGGUAAAAACCUCAUCAAAAUAAAGAAAAGAAUGGUCCUGAAAUCAAUAGGAAAUCCAGAAAAUAAAAGUUUAAGUUUCCUGGCAAAAUUUUAAUAAAUAAAACACGGUUAAAUUUUUGGGGUGUCACAGACAAUCUCUAUGGACUAAUGGUUGCUUUGAGUUAUAUUUGAAAGGUUAUCCAUAGGCAAUGCUUGAAGACCAUAUGUUGGUUUCAAGGUUGAAAGAAGAAUAUUAUUUGUUGACCAAGGUGUUAUUCAUGGAGUUAUCCAAAUAUUGGUCAUGUGAGAGUUGAGUAUAUUGCAAGCAUGUCUUGAAAAUAAGAUUAUUUGAACAUUCAUGUUGCCUUUAAUACAUCAUCUUUAUGAAGAGAGAAGAUAAGAUACAAGGUUGAUCAAGACUAAGUACAAAGAAUGGAUUCAAGUUGAUGAACACACAAAGCAUAGAAGAUGUACCGAGUCGAAUCAAGUGAUCUCACGAUAUGGUAAGCAUUGUCCAUUAUGCUUUGUGUAACCCAUGAUCUAUUUGUGUGGUGUUCCUAUGUGGGGCUAGUUUUUUUCCAUGGGCUUACAUCAAGAGGAAGAUAUCAGAUAACCCAUGGAGGAUGACAUCAUGUGGUGAUCGUCAUCAAUGUUGUGUUGUGCAAGUUCAAGUGGAGCAUCACAAAGAGAUCACAUGCUUGAAGCUUGCCAUCCAUUCUGGUGAUAAUGGAGUUGUGAAGAUGUGCCAAAGAGAGGCCAACCCAUAGUGGAGUAUGGGGGAGCAAUAUAUUGGUCUUCAUCGAGCUAGCGCAAUCAGAAAGGUGGUCCAACAUGAGGAGGACGAGAUCAUCAUCGUCUAGCUCAAGUGGACUAUGCGCAAGGCAAAGGUUUGACCUUAAUAGGUUUUCUGUUUUACCGAUCUGAUGGUGUUAGUUGGGAGACCGGGUUGAAGGAUUGAUUGACGUACUAUCAAGGGGGCUCUCGAGUGAGUAGCUUGAGCGUAUCAUUCAUAGAGAGCUCAAACCAUUGCAUCAUUGGCAUCAUCUUUCUUGGUUCUUGUUUGGCUUUUCCCUAUGUGAGUUUUGGAGCUUGUGGUCAUCUCCGUGGCAAGUUCAAGUUGAUCAAAAAUGGAUUUCAUAUGCAGCAUGUAUUGUGUUUUCGAUGUAGGAGUUUUUGCCAGUUCUUCACUCAUGUAUAUUUCACACCUCUAUUGUGAUUUGACAACUCUUGUAGUUACCUUUCUAUCAAGUUUCAAUUCAUCAAUAUCAAAGUGGUGGUACCGCUUGCUACUGGUGGUAGUACUGCUUAUGCAGUACUUUCGCUGGUUGGUGCCGUGGCUACCUCUGGUUGUGUUUAGUCUUCUGUAUGCCUCUGGCAAUUCGCGGUAGUGCCACUGCUUCCAACGGUAGUACCGCUUGAUGCGGUUCUUCCGCUCUGGCGCCGCUUGAACUACUGCUGGUUUGUCUGUUAGCCUAUUGACAAUUAGCGACAGUAUCGCUUGUUGUAGCCGGUGGGACCGCUCCGGCAGAACUAGGAUGCGAGUACCACUGUGGUACUCGAUGAGCCUUAGUGAAACUGCCGCUCUUAGCAGUAGUACCGCUUGAGCAUGACCAGUGCAUAAUGGUCUUAUUCUUGCCCCCACUAUAAAAGGGGGUCUUCUUCACCAUUGCUCCUAGCAACUUUGAGCAAGCUUUCUCCUCCAUUAUUGACCUCUAAAAGCUUUGCUUUAUCUCUAUCCCUCCCAUGGUUCUUGCAUCAUUUUGAGGGGAAAGAGAUAGGAUAUCUAGAUUCUAUAUCUACAUUUCCACCAAUCCAUCUUACGUCUAAGUGAGGGGAACCCUUUGGAUCUAAAUCUUCGAGUUCUUUUGUGUUCUCCUUGUUCUUCCUCACAUAUUCCACCAUAGCUUUCGUUAAUUUGUGGGAUUUGAGAGAUGUGGGACUUGAGCACUUAGUGUGUUCUUGCCAUUACAUUAGUUGCAUCGGUUUGAGUUCUCCAUGAUGAUACAUGGAAGUGAAAGUCGAGAAGCUUACUAGUACCUUUUGGGUAUUUGGGUGUCCUAGAUGAUUGGUGGUGUCUCAAAGCUCAAUCAUUGUUGUGUAAAGCUUCGAGAAAGCUUUGGGGUCUCUAAUACGUCCAUUUUAUAUCAUGUUUUCCUACUACUAUUUCUAAUGCUUUAUAGCUAUAUUUCACCUUUGAUGCAAUUCCAAUGCCUUUUCUCUCUUAAUUGCCAGUUAUAUCACAAGAGGAAGAUUGCCGACAGCUGGAAUUCUGGACCUGAAAAGUGCUACAACAGAGAUAGCUAUUCUCUUGAGCUCCAAAUGACCUAAAUUUUUCCAAAGAUUUGUUUUGAAAUAUAUAAAAAAUACUAGAAGCAAAAUGCACUGAAGGGGACGCACUAGGGAGCUACAAGCUCGGGGGCGCGCCCACCCCCUGGGGUGCACCUGGUGAGCUUAUGAGUCCCACAGAAGGUCUAUGUGGCCCAUCGUCUCCUAUAUGAAGCCAUUUUCCCUAUAAAAAUAAUCAAGAGAAGACUUUUGGAACGAAGCGCCACCGUCUCGAGGCGGAACCUGGGCAGGAGCAAUUUUGCUCUGUGGCAAAGCGAUUCCACCGGGGAAACUUCCCUCUGGGAGGGGGAAAUCAAAGCCAUCAUCAUCAUCAACGUUCCUUUCAUCAUGGGAGGACUCAUCUCCGUCAACAUCUUCACUAGCACCAUCUCACUUCAAACCCUAGUUCAUCUCUUGUAUUCAAUCUUUGUCUCAAACCUCAGAGUGGUACAUGUGGGUUGCUAGUAGUGUUGAUUACAUCUUGUAGUUGAUUUACUUGGUGGAAGAUCAUAUCUUUAGAUUUUUAAUCAUAUAUUAUUCUCCUCUUAUCAUGAACAUGAAUAUGAUGUGUGAGUAGUUUCUUUUAUUCUUGAGGAAACAGGAGAAGUCUUGUUGUAAGUAAUCAUGUGAAGUUGGUUUUCAUUCAAUAUUUUGAUGAUGUGCUAUGUUGUUCUUCCUCUAGUGGUGUCAUGUGAAUGUCGACUACAUGUCACAUUAUCAUGUUUGAGCCUAGGGGAAGGCAUUGUGGGAUUAGUCAGUAGAUGAUGGGUUGCUAGAGUGAUAGAAGCUUAAAUCCUAGUUUAUGCGCUAUUUCGUAAGGGGCUGAUUUGGAUCCAUAUGUUUCAUGCUAUGGUUGGAUUUAUCUUAAUUCUUCUUUCGUAGUUGUGGAUGCUUGCGAGAGGGGAUAAGCAUAUCUAGAUUAAGGAUAUGGAUGUACUCAUAUAGAAAUUUAAUGGUAUUAAUUUUAUAAUUUGUUUGGACGUGUGUUAGUGGUUCUAAAAAGGAUGUGAAUACACACAUAUAGCAAAAAUAUAUACAUUAGCGGUUCCAAAGAAUUACGUUAAGGUACUCAUAUAUGAAUAUAUGGCUAGCAGUCCAUACCGUAUGAAACUAGUAUGCUUAAAGAUUAUCUAUGUCAACUCUUACUAAACAUUACAAGGUCCAAUUCUAGUCAAACAGCAAUGCUUCUAUAUCAAUUGCUAAUAAAUUUGGAUGUAUGGAUAAGGAUGAACUUUAACUAUCAUCCAUGUAUUCCAAAAAGUAUAAUUGACACCAAUGUUUCUUGUACACGAUUCUACAAAUCUCUCUAGCAAGUGGUCCCAACAUGCCAAUACAAACAUGAAACCUAGACAAUUUUUAGGGUCCUUGGGGUGAUACUUCUAUAUAAGGGGGGCACAUCUCCGCAUAUCUCCCACUAACAUGUCGUUAGCCAAUGGUUUUGGUAAAUCUCUAGCAUUUCGUAGAUUCUUGUUGCUCUUGUUUAUAGUAGUAAGUUUCAUUUUCUUCAUAGGAUUUAGUAUGCCAAGGAGGGAGAGGCGGUCAGGUGUCGCAUACAUCCAUGAUGACAAAGAGCGUGAUGGCUCCUUCUUCAAGAGGCGCAGUGGUUUGUUCAAGAGCGCUGCUAACCUCAAUGCCCUCACCGGUGCUAGGGUUGCUAUCAUCCUAGAGGGGAGCAAUGUUGUUAUGCUCUUUCAGACAAACCAUCCUACAAUGGAUUUCUUGGGAUGGAUGCUUAAUUGGGUAAUGAUGGUACUAAGUAGACAUUCUUCUAUAGGAAAUGGUGAAUGUGUUUAUGCGCAAUAGGAAUCUUCUUCCAGCGAGCAAGAUGUUGAUGCUUGGGUGCAAUCUGAAGGACUUAGUUAGAAGCUAGUUAGACUUACAUUUUAGUUUUAUAUCAGAAUGAAAGCUAGUUACAUUACCACCUGGAAAAUGUUACCAUUUGGACAUUUUACUAAGCCCCUUCCAGGCAAUAAUAUACAUGUUCAGUGUUGUAGGUCUUGGAACAUGGAAGUUUUUUUUCUAUGUGCCGCUUCAUAUUUUCAUUAUAAUCAAAUAUUUUAUUUUCUUUGUGAGAUGUUAUGUAUC